CUCAGGCGCUGCUCCCCCCAACCCCCGGUGCGCGAGCUCCAGGCGCUUUCUCCGUCAAAGGCCAGGUCCAACCAGCUGGCGCCGGCGCCGGCCACUAGGUUUACGGCGUUCGCUCAUUCUCGUUCCUUCCUUGGCGGCAGUUAGAGCCCGAAUUGCUCCUCCCCAGGGGGCCCGACACCGCCCCUUCCACCCGCAGUCCAUGGCGGGCGCGGAGGCGAGGAGGCGGGCUCCAUGCUGAGGGCCGGAGGUUUCAUGUCUCUAGUACUGGUCCUGGUGCUAGCUGCGAGUCUCCCCGCGCUCGGCCGGCCGCCGCCGCCGCUGGGCCGACUCCUCGCCCUGUGGGAGCUGUGGCCAGGUUAUAUAAAAGAGUGUCAGCUACUAUCAAUGGUAACAGUAAACAAUUCUUCAAAUAAAAUAUCACAACUUGUGGACCCAGAACAAUCAACAUUGAAAAAAUAUCUUCUAAUUUCUCAUGGCGUUUGGCAGAACACUUCUACAGUUGGAAGAAAUUCCAAAAUUUCUAAAACAAAAUCAGAAGCAACUAGAAGAAAAACUGACAAAUACAAGCACCAAUGGAAGCUGCUGAGAAAUAACAUUUUAAACAUUUUCAUGAAUCAAAACAAGCCACAACUAAUUACCAAUGAAGGCAUAAAAACACAAGUUUCCAAAAAGUGGACAGGAAGUGGAAAAAUAACUUCAACUGAAACAAAUGCAGAGCUAACAGAAAAAGCAAGAAAGAUCCUAAAGCUUGGGAAAACUGAAAAUACUAAGAUAAUAAGUCAACAUAAAAUUAAUUCACAUCUACAGAAUGAAUUUAAAAUUGUUGAAAAGAAAACUGCAAAUAAUAAAAUAAAGCAACUACAAAGAAAGUUGUGUUGCAAUUCUGGUAUAUUUAACAAAUGCUUUGGAACUAAGCCAUCAUUGAUUAAUACAUUUUUGACAGCAAAUUUUCUAUCAACUGUUAAAGGAAAAUGUUGCAGAAAAAAUCCGAAAGACUUACAAAGCAUUUUGGUAUUAAAUUUAGUAAAAAAUCAGAUGGUCAAUGAAAGUAGUCAAAAUCAAACUAAAACAAUGACAAAGGAAAAAAAUAAGUGUACCAAUAAAAGAAUUUUAGCAUUUGUCAAACAAAAGGAAUUAGCUGAAAAGAGUUCUAAAACAUGGGACUGGGAAAGAAUAGGUGCAAUCAGCAGAGAUCAGCAUAAAAUAUUAACUGAUGCAAGAAAAGUGUUAAUAAGUGCAGAAAAGAAAAGUCAACAUACUGAACUUCAGAAAUAUGGACAUAUACCUAAAGAGUUUCAGGAAAUAACUGGAUCUGUAAACAAUAUACCAAAUGGAAUAAGCAGUUGGAAAAGAAAAUCAGAAAGAAUGUCUACUAGGCCUUACAGUAAAAACCAAAACAUUUUAAACUCAAUGAAACAAAGAUCAGCAGGAUUACAAAAGGGUCAACCAAAUAUGAAAGACAUAGACGGAAUGUACACAACAGAAAAAUCAGACAAAAAUAAUGGGAGCAUAGAUGUAUCGUUUAAUAGCUUGCCUGAAGUAGGAAUCAAAGUAAUACUUCAAGGUAAAGAGCAAAGAACUAAAACAACUCCAAAAUCUGUUGAUGAAAAUCAGAGAUCUUCUACACAAGCAAUGAUCCUGCAAAGAGGCAAAGAAAAUGUGCAGGAAAAGUGGUCAAUAUAUAAAACUGGUUCUUCUAGAACUCAUGAAAGAAAACAAGAUACUUUUAAAACUAAAGCUUCUAGAAAACAGAAAUGGAGAGGGAAUCCGGUUGAAGUACAUAUACCUAAAAAAGAAAGUACUGUGUUUAGAGUGGAAGGGUUGGAAUAUUCAUCCAGAAAUGACCACGUAGAACCUAUAAAGUUAAAUUCUGUCUUUCCAACCACAAAAUAUGCUGUAAGUGUUAAACAGGCAUUAUUUACACCAGAAAUAGGACAAGCAAAGUCUUCAAGACACGUGGGAAAAAUGGUGACACAUAGCACGUCAACUUCAUGGAAGGUAAAACAGAAAUAUUUAAGCUUUGCUCGAAAGGAUUUAAAUGUUAAAGCUAGAAGAGCUGCUGUAUCAAACAAACGAACUGUGAAUAGUAAAUAUAAAAAAAUUAAUAAAAGAGAUUAUUUACCAGUAUCUUCAAUAUAUCCUUAUAAACACUCUUCUCAAAGUGUAUCUGAUGGUGAAAGAAGGAAACAAUCAACACAGGGUGAAAGUGUAAAGAUAUCUGUAGAUUUUGUGAACCACUUAGUCUCCGUUCUAGUAGCAGGUGCUACUAUUGUUGGAAUUGCCUUCUUUGCUUUGGGAUUAGGAGUGUUUUUUCUGUUUUAUAAAAGAAGGCAGCUUUUUCAGUUUCUCAGAACCAUUAUGAAAGAUGAAGAACUUCCAAACAAAUUUGUACCAAUUGAUGCUCAACAUUAUAAGCAUAUGUCUCUCUCUCAGAGUUUUCAUGUUGGAAAAUCACAGACCAAAGUUAUCUCUCUUAUGAUGAAACUGAGAAUUUUAACAAGACGCACCAUUUCCCACACCAUCCACCCUGGAAUCAAGCAAAAGGCAAACAGAGGCAGCAACAGAUGUUUGAAACGGCUGAGAGGCUUUGAAUGUUACAUUAAAUCCUGGUGAAGAUGGAGUAGUGGACAGAGUGCAGCUUGGAUGUUUGAGCUGAGAGUGAGGAGACCUGAGUACUUUUGAUUCCCUCUUGAUCACACAAGCCAAUGGAAGAAAUUCUGGCCCAAUAUAAAGCUGAGAACGGUGCAGAGACAGAAUGAUACACUUAAAGUAACGCAAACGAAGAAGCUAAAUACAACCUGAAAAUCAUUUUUACUACAUGCACUUAAAUGAAGUAGAAGAAAAGAUCAUUGCUGGCCAGCAGUUGCAUUUCUGACAUACCACAGAUUCUUGACUUCACCAAAUGUAUCCUCCAUGCAAAGCUAAGUAGCCUGAAGAGGCAGUACUUUAUGUUCUGGAAAUACUGAUAGUCAAGUUAAAAUCUUUAAACUGAUUUUAUUCAAUACUUAAAGCAGGAGUUUUCCUGAAAUACAUUUGGUGCAUUAAGGAGCAGCAUGGCCCAGCAAAUAAUGCCUUGGAUUGGGAUUUCGGACAUCAGGGUUCUAUUCCCAACUCGGUCACCAACCUGCUGUGUGACCUCACCUUUCUGUGCCUCAAUUCCCCCCUUCCAGCCUUUGUUAAACCGUAAGAUCUUUCAGAUGGGAUGUGUUUUGGACAGUGCCUAUCACAAUGGGGUCCCUGCUCGUGGUUGGUACUACCAUAAUACUAACAAUAAAAAAAGUAUCCAAUACAUUAGUCAAUGGUCUCCGCCUUGCCCCCUACCUUUCAGUACAACGCCUUAAUCAAACUGACCAGAUAGAGACCUGAGCAGGCAAUUGGUAGUCUUACUUUGCUCUUUCCAGUAACUUUACUCCUUCUUCUCUUCUACCAUGGUCCAUGUAUAGUACAGCAAGUUCAAGCAGGGCAUUUGGAAUUAAAUAAUGGUCAUACUUUAUCUUCCUCUCACUGCAAGAGAAGGAGAAACAUAGUUACAAGGUUUUCAUGCUGCAGUUUGCUCUCAUUCUAGCUACAAACAAAUAAGAGCUCAGUUGGGGUUAGGAGGGAACAGUCACUCUCUUCAAUGAUGCUUACUCUUCGGGUACUCUAACCUAGACUAUCUCUAGGUUACUCAGUAAGUGCUCUAUAUAUUUGCAUGGCAAUACACGACCAUCUUUUGCAGCAUGUUAUUUACCGUGUUUACAAGUUUCUUAGAGGGGGAUAACAAAAGGUAGCAGUGGUCCACGCACCACCCACUUGCAUUGCCAAAAUGAGGUGCCAUUCACUGUAGAUUGUGCAGGUAUUUCAAAUAGGAUAGUUCUGCCAACUGAUUCUUUGAGUUCGGCUCCCACUUGAUUGGGCUUCAGUAUACACACAGGCUCUGACAGGUUCCUGGGGCAUGGCUUCUUUAUGAGUGGGUGGGGGGGAAAAAAAGUGAUACUAGCUUCUAAAUGUCACCCACUUAUGGCACCAAAGUGAGAAGUUAC